AGAGUUUGAUCCUGGCUCAGGACGAACGCUGGCGGCGUGCCUAACACAUGCAAGUCGAACGGAAGUUAGAGCUUCGGUUUUAACUUUAGUGGCGAACGGGUGAGUAACGCGUGAGGAACCUGCCUUUCAGUGGGGGACAACAGUUGGAAACGACUGCUAAUACCGCAUGACACUUUUGGGGGACAUCCCUUAAAAGUCAAAGCUUUAUGUGCUGAAAGAUGGCCUCGCGUCUGAUUAGCUAGUUGGUGAGGUAACGGCUCACCAAGGCGACGAUCAGUAGCCGGUCUGAGAGGAUGAACGGCCACAUUGGGACUGAGAUACGGCCCAGACUCCUACGGGAGGCAGCAGUGGGGAAUAUUGGGCAAUGGGCGCAAGCCUGACCCAGCAACGCCGCGUGAAGGAAGAAGGCUUUCGGGUUGUAAACUUCUUUUGUCAGGGACGAGUAGAAGACGGUACCUGACGAAUAAGCCACGGCUAACUACGUGCCAGCAGCCGCGGUAAUACGUAGGUGGCAAGCGUUGUCCGGAAUUACUGGGUGUAAAGGGAGCGCAGGCGGGAAGACAAGUUGGAAGUGAAAUCCAUGGGCUCAACCCAUGAACUGCUCUCAAAACUGUAUCCCUUGAGUAUCGGAGAGGCAAGCGGAAUUCCUAGUGUAGCGGUGAAAUGCGUAGAUAUUAGGAGGAACACCAGUGGCGAAGGCGGCUUGCUGGACGACAACUGACGCUGAGGCGCGAAAGCGUGGGGAGCAAACAGGAUUAGAUACCCUGGUAGUCCACGCUGUAAACGAUGAAUACUAGGUGUGCGGGGACUGACCCCCUGCGUGCCGCAGCUAACGCAAUAAGUAUUCCACCUGGGGAGUACGAUCGCAAGGUUGAAACUCAAAGGAAUUGACGGGGGCCCGCACAAGCGGUGGAUUAUGUGGUUUAAUUCGAAGCAACGCGAAGAACCUUACCAGGGCUUGACAUCCUACUAACGAGAUAGAGAUAUGUUAGGUGCCCUUCGGGGAAAGUAGAGACAGGUGGUGCAUGGUUGUCGUCAGCUCGUGUCGUGAGAUGUUGGGUUAAGU
rnacentral:rRNA from 1 species